rnacentral:rRNA from 1 species
CGUAGGGUGCGAGCGUUAAUCGGAAUUACUGGGCGUAAAGCGUGCGCAGGCGGUUCGUUGUGUCUGUGGUGAAAGCCCCGGGCUUAACCUGGGAAUGGCCAUGGAAACUGGCGAGCUGGAGUGUGGCAGAGGGGGUGGAAUUCCGCGUGUAGCAGUGAAAUGCGUAGAGAUGCGGAGGAACACCGAUGGCGAAGGCAGCCCCCUGGGUCAACACUGACGCUCAGGCACGAAAGCGUGGGGAGCAAACAGGAUUAGAUACCCUGGUAGUCCACGCCCUAAACGAUGGCAACUGGGUGUUGGGGGAGCGAUCUCCUGGUACCGUAGCUAACGCGUGAAGUUGCCCGCCUGGGGAGUACGGCCGCAAGGUUA